rnacentral:tRNA from 2 species
GCGCCCUUAGUUUAAUGGUAAAACGGGGGUCUCCAAAACCUUUGAUGAGGGUUCGAUUCCUUCAGGGCGCG